rnacentral:rRNA from 1 species
GACGUAGGGCGCGAGCGUUGUCCGGAUUUAUUGGGCGUAAAGAGCUCGUAGGCGGCUUGUUGCGUCGGCUGUGAAAACCCGCAGCUCAACUGUGGGCUUGCAGCUGAUACGGGCAGGCUUGAGUUCGGUAGGGGAGACUGGAAUUCCUGGUGUAGCGGUGAAAUGCGCAGAUAUCAGGAGGAACACCGGUGGCGAAGGCGGGUCUCUGGGCCGAAACUGACGCUGAGGAGCGAAAGCGUGGGGAGCGAACAGG